GGGUCAUUAGUAUAGUGGUAGUAUGCCUGCUUCGGGAUACUUAAAAAUCUCACGGUGUUAACAAUCGUUAUUGUAGGCGACCCCGGAUCAAACCCGGGAUGACCCC